rnacentral:ncRNA from 1 species
AGAGGGGUGCCCGCCGUUUUCGCCGGGCUGAGAUCAUACCCUGUGAACCUGACGCAGGUCAUGCUGCCGUAGGGAUUGUUUU